rnacentral:rRNA from 1 species
GGUAGUCCACGCCGUAAACGAUGUCGACUUGGAGGUUGUGCCCUUGAGGCGUGGCUUCCGGAGCUAACGCGUUAAGUCGACCGCCUGGGGAGUACGGCCGCAAGGUUAAAACUCAAAUGAAUUGACGGGGGCCCGCACAAGCGGUGGAGCAUGUGGUUUAAUUCGAUGCAACGCGAAGAACCUUACCUACUCUUGACAUCCAGAGAACUUAGCAGAGAUGCUUUGGUGCCUUCGGGAACUCUGAGACAGGUGCUGCAUGGCUGUCGUCAGCUCGUGUUGUGAAAUGUUGGGUUAAGUCCCGCAACGAGCGCAACCCUUAUCCUUUGUUGCCAGCGGUUAGGCCGGGAACUCAAAGGAGACUGCCAGUGAUAAACUGGAGGAAGGUGGGGAUGACGUCAAGUCAUCAUGGCCCUUACGAGUAGGGCUACACACGUGCUACAAUGGCGCAUACAAAGAGAAGCGACCUCGCGAGAGCAAGCGGACCUCAUAAAGUGCGUCGUAGUCCGGAUUGGAGUCUGCAACUCGACUCCAUGAAGUCGGAAUCGCUAGUAAUCGUAGAUCAGAAUGCUACGGUGAAUACGUUCCCGGGCCUUGUACACACCGCCCGUCGCACCAUGGGAGUGGGUUGCAAAAGAAGUAGGUAGCUUAACCUUCGGGAGGGCGCUUACCACUUUGUGAUUCAUGACUGGGGUGAAGUCGUAACAAGGUAACCGUAGGGGAACCUGC